AUCUGAAUAGUUUAUGUAAAAUAUUGGUUUGUGGGGCCAAAGAAAUAGUAAUUAUUUCGGAUA
rnacentral:tRNA from 1 species